UGGGGAAUCUUCCGCAAUGGACGAAAGUCUGACGGAGCAACGCCGCGUGAGUGAUGACGGCCUUCGGGUUGUAAAGCUCUGUUAAUCGGGACGAAUGGUUCUUGUGCAAAUAGUGCGAGGAUUUGACGGUACCGGAAUAGAAAGCCACGGCUAACUACGUGCCAGCAGCCGCGGUAAUACGUAGGUGGCAAGCGUUGUCCGGAAUUAUUGGGCGUAAAGCGCGCGCAGGCGGAUUGGUCAGUCUGUCUUAAAAGUUCGGGGCUUAACCCCGUGAUGGGAUGGAAACUGCCAAUCUAGAGUAUCGGAGAGGAAAGUGGAAUUCCUAGUGUAGCGGUGAAAUGCGUAGAGAUUAGGAAGAACACCAGUGGCGAAGGCGACUUUCUGGACGAAAACUGACGCUGAGGCGCGAAAGCCAGGGGAGCGAACGGG
rnacentral:rRNA from 1 species